rnacentral:rRNA from 1 species
UACGAAGGGUGCAGACGUUGCUCGGAAUUAUUGGGGCGUAAAGCGCACGUAGGCGGCUUUGCAAGUCCCAUGUGAAAUCCCACGGCUCAACCGUGGAAGUGCAUGGGAAACUGCAGAGCUUGAGUACUUAAGAGGAUCGCGGAAUUCCCGGUGUAGAGGUGAAAUUCGUAGAUAUCGGGGAGGAACACCAGUGGCGAAGGCGGCGAUCUGGGAAGAUACUGACGCUGAGGUGCGAAAGCGUGGGGAGCGAACAGG